rnacentral:rRNA from 1 species
UACAGAGGGUGCAAGCGUUGUUCGGAAUUAUUGGGCGUAAAGGGCGCGUAGGCGGUGCGGUAAGUCUGCAGUGAAAUCUCUGGGCUCAACUCAGAGUCUGCUGUAGAAACUGCCGUGCUUGAGUGAUGGGAGAGGUGAGUGGAAUUCCGGUGUAGCGGUGAAAUGCGUAGAUAUCGGAAGGAACACCUGUGGCGAAAGCGGCUCACUGGGACCACUAACU